rnacentral:rRNA from 1 species
GGUAAAGCGGCGCACGGGUGAGUAACACGUAGGUCAUCUACCCUCGAGUGGGGGACAACCCUCCGAAAGGAGGGCUAAUACCGCAUAACGCCGGCAACGGCCAAAGCGGGCCUCUCCACGGAAGCUCGCGCUUGAGGAUGAGCCUGCGGCCCAUCAGCUUGUUGGUAAGGUAACGGCUUACCAAGGCAGAGACGGGUAGCUGGUCUGAGAGGAUGAGCAGCCACACUGGAACUGAGACACGGUCCAGACUCCUACGGGAGGCAGCAGUAGGGAAUCUUGCGCAAUGGGCGAAAGCCUGACGCAGCGACGCCGCGUGAGCGAUGAAGGCCUUCGGGUUGUAAAGCUCUGUGGGGAGGGAAGAAUAAGGGCAGGUUAAUAUCCUGUCUGAUGACGGUACCUCCUUAGCAAGCACCGGCUAACUCUGUGCCAGCAGCCGCGGUAAGACAGAGGGUGCAAACGUUGUUCGGAAUCACUGGGCGUAAAGCGCGUGUAGGCUGCCAUGCAAGUCGGAUGUGAAAGCCCUCGGCUCAACCGAGGAAGAGCACCCGAAACUGCGUGGCUAGAGUCUCGGAGAGGAAGGUGGAAUGCUUGGUGUACAGGUGAAAUUCGUAGAUAUCAAGCGGAACACCGGUGGCGAAGGCGGCCUUCUGGACGAUGACUGACGCUGAGACGCGAAAGCGUGGGGAGCAAACAGGAUUAGAUACCCUGGUAGUCCACGCCGUAAACGAUGAGUGCUAGGUGUCAGGGGCUUUGACCCUCUUGGUGCCGAAGCUAACGCGUUAAGCACUCCGCCUGG